rnacentral:rRNA from 1 species
GAUGAACGCUGGCGGCGUGCCUAAUACAUGCAAGUCGAGCGAAUGGAUUAAGAGCUUGCUCUUAUGAAGUUAGCGGCGGACGGGUGAGUAACACGUGGGUAACCUGCCCAUAAGACUGGGAUAACUCCGGGAAACCGGGGCUAAUACCGGAUAACAUUUUGAACCGCAUGGUUCGAAAUUGAAAGGCGGCUUCGGCUGUCACUUAUGGAUGGACCCGCGUCGCAUUAGCUAGUUGGUGAGGUAACGGCUCACCAAGGCAACGAUGCGUAGCCGCCCUGAGAGGGUGAUCGGCCACACUGGGAAUGCGACACGGCCCAGACUCCUGCGGGAGGCAGCAGGAGGGAAUCUUCCGCAAUGGACGAAAGUCUGACGGAGCAACGCCGCGUGAGUGAUGAAGGCUUUCGGGUCGUAAAACUCUGUUGUUAGGGAAGAACAAGUGCUAGUUGAAUAAGCUGGCACCUUGACGGUACCUAACCAGAAAGCCACGGCUAACUACGUGCCAGCCGCCGCUGUAA